CUAUGUCUUGGACCAAAACCGUCCUCCAGGGGAGCUCUUAGUGAAGGAGGGCAAUACCUGCCUCACUCAGGAGGACUUUUGGAUCCCGGGUUUGGCGCAAUGCAUGGAAUCCACUAUUGGGAAUGCUUGUCUCAAGAUCGUGGGGGAAGCUGGCCAAAGACAUGUAAUCUACAGUUGUGCUCAUAAGUUUACAUACCCUGGCAGAAUUUGUAAAAUGCGCUCCAUUCUUUAAUGAAAACAUGAAUGAUCAGAGAAAAUACAAUUGCAUGACAACAAAUAGCUUUGUCUGAACACCAGCCCUAAAUGAAAGAAAAAUGUUUCCAUUAACAAACAUAUAUUCUAAAAAAUAAAGGACAAUAUUUCACAAAUUUGGCCAGGGUAUGUAAACUUAUGAGCACAACUGUAUAGUACCAGUACACCAAGUCAUCAGCCAAUCAAACGCACGUUUGAUUGGACCGGCACAUUCAGCAAGUGAAAAGGGGUAAAUGUAAGUCUGAACCUGGUCUGAACGUAAUGAAAAUAAUUCACUUAAUAAUGGUAGGGUCAAUUCUAUCCUUACAACAUAUGGGAAGACAAUCAAAAUUACCUAUAUAACUGAACUCAUUAUAUAAUGCAAAUAAGGUUGCUUAAAAGUUGGUGGGGACGAUUUGACCCGCUUGAAAAGUUGGUAGUGUUAUGUCCCUACCGUCCCUAUGCAAACCUACGCCCUUGUUAUUAUCUAAAAUGCCAGAUCGGUAGCGGCCAUCAUUGACCCUGGAUCCUGGACGGAAAAAAUGGGAAGAGACCUUGAGGUAUGCUUUCAAUCUAAAAUUUUGCAAGCACAUCAAGUACAUAUUAAUGCAAAAAAAAAAAAUUGCAAGUUUAUGUGAGCUGUCUUCAUUAAAGACACCUUUCCUUUUUUAGUUGUUUCCCUCUCAGUCCUCGGGAAAUUGCUGUGGCAUCUUCAUGCUGAUGGUGAGCAUUUUUUUUGCCCUUGCUUGAAUAUAAUGUCUCAACAUGUUAAAGGUUUAUUUUUAUUUUACAGUAUGCUCUCUGCAUCUGCACCUCGUCUCCCCUGACAUUCACAGAGGUAAGCUGUUUUAGAAUGUUCCACCAAAAUACCAAUGCCAGUGUCCAAUUUUUGAUUUAGGUUAUAUUGUAUUUGUCUUAAGGGCGGAAUGUCAGCAAUUCGACUGUGGUGGUGCAUUCAGCUGAUGGAGAGAUUCUGCACAGAAGGGUAUGGUUGGUACUAAAGACAAACUAGCCCUACUGGCAUCAUAGUCACAGUUCCAAGUGAACGUUUCUUACUGUAGUCAUCUAUAUAUAUAACCCUGUGACUGGAUGGUCUGAACAGAGCGGUAGUAUACAAGUAGAGCGCAUUCACAAUGAUAUUACUUUUUAAAGGUUUACUUUGCCAAGUCCAAUGGAACAGGUGGAAGAGGACAACAAUGAGGUAACCAUUUGUAGAAAUGUAACCACACAAUGUUGAUGGUGGGACUAUUUAUCGCUAUAUAGGUUUGGAUGGAUGGAUGCAUGGUGUCCAUGGUGUCCAUGUAAUGUGAUGUUUUCCUUUAAAGGCUGAGGCUGACAGGUGCUUCUUGUUGGAGGUAAUGUUUUCUUAUUUCCUUUUUCUUUAAACACAUAACUGGACAUAACUGAAUUAGUAAGCACAGUCACAGGCAGCUCCAUCAGGGCAGAAAGAGGCAUUAUUGUGUAGUGAGUGAAGUAAUUGUUAUGAAAAACACUAUUCAGUAUAUUUUGCAUUUUCAGUGUGUACAUUUCUGCAACUUAAUGUACAAAUUUUGUAUCAUCAUCGUUGGCUCAUCUACAUUUUACAGUUGCCAACAUGUGUCCUAGUGGACAUAUUGCAAGAAGUUGUCCUCAAUGAAGGUGAUGCUGCAAUCUGCAGACUGGCUCUGGUGUGCUCCACUUUCAGAGACCUUGUGUCUACUGAAUAUUUCAGGAGGCAAGCACACUUUAAGUGGCUUCACACUGUUUGCACAUGGAGCAGAUUCUCUGCAAAUUACAGAUAGGAGUACUGGAGAAUGUACACCAUUGAGAUCUGUCAAGAAUGUGGAGAGCAAUAUAAAGAAAUGCCACGAGGAUAUAUUGGCAGAGGGAAAAGAGGAGACGUGCGAGCCUUUUAUUCAGAGGAGAGGCACCCAGGCUACUGCAGCCACUUUUGCAGCUAAAUGUGCUGAAAUCAAUCAAUCAGUUAAUUCUGUGCCAUUUGUGGUUUACAGGGAAAAAAAUGGAUUUUUGGACUUGUGUGAUUGUGUAAACCUGCAUAAGGCUGUGGGCUGGUCCUAAAAAGUGACUCCUUCCCUGCUGCUUGGUUUCUUUCCUCGGCGCCAUGGCACCAGCUCCUCGGAUUUCAGCAUCCAUUGUUUAUUUCUUUUCAUGUUUUGUACAUUAAUAAAUCCCCUUUUAUUUUUGCAA